GCCUCGAAGGUGUGCAAACUGUU
rnacentral:siRNA from 1 species